ensembl:snRNA U6 U6 spliceosomal RNA
GUGCUUGCUUCUGCAGCACAUAUACUAAAAUUGGAACGAUACAGAGAAGAUUAGCAUGGCCCCUGCACAAGGAUGGCAUGCAAUUUUUUAUUUUUUAUUUUAUUUUU